rnacentral:rRNA from 1 species
UGGGGAAUAUUGGACAAUGGGCGCAAGCCUGAUCCAGCCAUGCCGCGUGAGUGAUGAAGGCCUUAGGGUUGUAAAGCUCUUUCGCCGACGAAGAUAAUGACGGUAGUCGGAGAAGAAGCCCCGGCUAACUUCGUGCCAGCAGCCGCGGUAAUACGAAGGGGGCUAGCGUUGUUCGGAAUCACUGGGCGUAAAGCGCACGUAGGCGGAUUGUUAAGUCAGGGGUGAAAGCCUGGAGCUCAACUCCAGAACUGCCCUUGAUACUGGCAAUCUCGAGUCCGGAAGAGGGUAAGUGGAACUGCGAGUGUAGNGGUGAAAUUCGUAGAUAUUCGCAAGAACACCAGUGGCGAAGGCGGCUUACUGGUCCGGUACUGACGCUGAGGUGCGAAAGCGUGGGGAGCAAAACAGGAUUAGAUACCCUGGUAGUCCACGCCGUAAACGAUGGAGGCUAGCCGUUGGCGAGCAUGCUCGUCAGUGGCGCAGCUAACGCAUUAAGCCUCCCGCCUGGGGGAGUACGGUC